GCUGAUUUAAGUUAUUUCUCAUUCUGAAUUGAUAUUGCUUUUUAUCUAGUAAUUUGUCAUUUAGACUAUAUUCAACUCAGUUGUAAAAUGAUUGUUUAGUAUGCAUAUUCUUCUUGUGGGUAUUCAGUUCUAACUCUUGCAUCAUAAGCAUUUUGUCAUCUAAUCUACCCAUUCUAAUGGUAGAUACUCAAUUGUUUACUUCUGUGCUCCAGCCUGGAGUUCCAUUUUCCUCCUGUUUUUAUCGCAACACCAUCUUUGAUCUUAUGACUAAUUGCUCACGGGUUUUGUUUCUAAAAUUCCAGUGGGAUGACAUUUUACUAAUAUUAAUAAUCGGAUGCAGUCUAUUUUGUUGAUUGUUUGAUUUGAAUGGCAUUCGUUAGAAGUGUUUUCUCAUUUUUCAGACUUCGAUCCCUUGCGGUAUAAACUGAAAAUAAGCUCAACAACCUAGUCUCACUAAUUUAUUUCGAUGGCUUCAAAUGCAGAGCUCCACUAACACUGAUCUUUAUUCUAAGAUGAAAGAGCUAGUUCCAGAGUAUCAGGUACUUGGUUAAAUGAGAGGAAUGACAAAUUUAGUGGGGUUAGGCUCAGCUGUUGACCCAUCUGAGGGAAUUCGCUUUAGGGGCAUGACAAUUCCUGGCUUCCAGAAAACACUUCCAGGUGCUUUUCCUGGUGGGGAGCCUUUACCCGAGGCCAUACUGUGGCUUUUAUUGACAGGAAAGGUGUUCUGAUACAAACUCUUGGGUAUUUUCAUAUAAUCGAUUCAUACAUUGUAUUGAAGAUACCAAACAAAGUGCAAGUAGAUUCAUUAGCUCAAUAAUUACGAAGACGUUCCAAAAUACCAGGUUCAUUUUCUUUUGAAUUCAUAAAUUGGUAUCUUAAGUAAACACCAGGUGUUUUUGUUUAGUGUAUCUAAAUCAGUCUUCAUAUUUUCACUGGAGACAAGUUCUUUCACCUGCUCCAUAUCUCUUGGAAUUGUUCAGGUACUCAUAUCAUGAUGGAAAUGCCUUUAAUCUUAAAACUUAAAAAGGAUGUGCUUAAAUUUCGUUGUAAUGUGUCAUCGUACUCUUCUAUCUUUCCCAUCAUAAUGAUUCAUGAAUCAUGAUUCAUACCGAAAAAGAAAGAAAGAACUUGCACAUACUAUUGUCAUACUUUAAUCAAAUAAAAUUGAAUAUAGGUUAAAGCUACAUUUUGUGAUGAGACCAAGUUAAUCACAGUUCGUGACCCAAUUCCAUGAAAGUGGAAACCUUAAACUAGCAUUAAUUGGUUAUUUUCUUCUAUGUAUGAACUUCAUUCUAAUUUCUUAUACUUGGGUGAUCUUUUCCGGUGGAAUUAUACUCUUUCAGUUGUUAAUGGCUUCAAUCACCAAAGUUAUUCAUCCCAUCCCUUCAAAUUCUGAUUCAAGCUUGCACCAACAUAAGUUAGCCGGUUCUGCAUCAUUUGAGAAAUCAUCUAUAACUGUUUUCUGGUGUCUACCUUAUAAAGAGUUUGUAGGGGGUGUCAACUGCAGCAAGUCAACAGUUGGUUAGCUCAUUUACUGUGGUUCUCUAUUGAAAGUGUUCUAUGAUCCCAAUGCUGCAUUGCUGCUUUAUCAUUUGUUUGUUGCAACUUAGGGUCUUAAUUUCUCGGCCACUUUACUAACGUGGUUGAAUUAUCACAAUUUGAAAAGUCAUAGAAUUUGUGUAGGACUAUUAGUAAUCAUCAAGAAAACAAUUUUUUCUUAGUUUAUACCUUUGUAAUUUAGAUUUAAUAACAAUAAAUACUAUUGUAAAUUAUGAAAUUCAUUUUUUAUUGUGUUUCAUUGAAGUAACUAGUGUCUUACCCGUGCGUUCGCACGGGUACCUGUUGUUUUCGCGCAUUGUGAUUGAGAAAAAUAAAAGAUAUUAGUAAAAGAUUAAGUUUUGGGUAAAAUUGAAAAAGUUAUAAAAAGAGUAAUAUUUUAUUUAACAAAUUAUAAUGAAGGAAAAGUUUUAAAAUCGCAAAUUCACGAAUUAUAAUGAAGAAAUAUUCAAUCAAAUUAUAUAAUUCAAUUAGUGAUAACUAUUAGCCCAAUCUCAAACUAUCAGCUAAGGAGAAUCGAUUAUUUUUUGCUAGCUAAGGAGAAAAUUAAUUAUUUUGGCUCAGUUAUAACUACAAACUAUCAGCCUAAUCUCAAACUAUCAGCUCUAUCUUGUAGGCCAAUGAGAAACCACUACAAACUACAUUUAUAAUAAUGAUUCAUUCAAAAUGCAUAAUUAAUAG